AUGUCUCCCUCUUGCACUUCUUUAGCAAUUUCUGAACCUCAAGAUAAGCAGCCAAACGUUGGCCAGAACAGUUUCUCACCUUCUUGGCAAAAUGCAGAGAAUUCUUAUAGGUCCUUGAAAAUUGAAUGGGAGAAGUCAUCAUCUCUCAGACCUGCCGAAAUAGUUUCAAGUGAGAGUAGUCGGUCUAGCAAAUGUCUAGACACAAGGCCGAUUGGGAACUUCAGAAAUAACCAAACGACAGAAGCAAACAACGCUAAACAAAAAACAGCUGUUUCUAGUAGGUCCAUUGAACUUAAUGGACAAGGCACUCAAAUGCAUGAUGGAGGUCAUCUGCAAAGCAAGCUAGCAGAAGAGCUUCCAAGACAUGAGCAGAACACCCAUGAUGUUGUUUCAAAAAGAUCUCCUGAAAGCCAUCGGAUCUGCUUUCAAGGUUUUGUUAGUGGCAUUGACGAUUGGGAACAUCAUUUAAGAGACGAUGAUGCAAGUCAGGCACCUGCUACAGUGAUUACACCUACAAGGGUUACGGCAUCUGGUGAAGAAGACCGUCACAGCAGCGACAGUGCAGCCAUGGCCAAACAUGGGUCAUCUUUUCUGUACAAAGUUUGCCAGCAAAUGGAGCAAGACUCGCCCUCCAAGUUAAUGACAAACAGUCCCAAGACCAUAGAUGGAAACGUGGUAAAUCAAACUGGGCACUGUCUUUUAAACCCACUCUUCUCACCGAAUGACUUAGAAGACCAAAACACAGCUGAGGAUUUCACCAGUUGCUUGGACAUUAAUCUGGGAAUGCCCUGUGACUCACAAGACAGCUCCGUUCCACUAGUAACCUCGGGUCAUGGCAGAUGUUCAGAGCCACUGAUCGACUAUGCGCAUGAAGCUGCUCAAGAGGAAGUCCCAGCAGGAUCUCCUGUUGCAGCCACAGCGAUUUCAGAAAUAUUGGGAAGUGAACAGUCAGAAGAGGAAUUCUCUGUGUCAUCUGCCUCUAGCAGCUUGAGUCCCACAUCAUUAAUUAGCCUACACGAGCAGAUGAAUGGAAAUGCUAUGGAUAAAAAUGCUGAUUUCCCUAUCAAAGCCAUUCCUGAACAACGUCUAAAGCCAGAAAAUCUGAUGCCAAAAAAUCAAACCACAUGGCAAAAAGCAGGUGGUCAUGACAAUGAAAGGCAAAGGUCUUCUGGGGAGAAGAGAAGAGCCAUGGCUUAUGAAAAUUCGGGUAUCAGUGCUAGUCAAAUAGUUUAUUUUUCUCAAUUCCCCAAACCUUUUUAA
rnacentral:lncRNA from 1 species